GGGUAUCAUAAGAGUGGAAUUGACAGCAACCAACACGGUCUAGCUCUUCCCAAGACAAAAUACUGGUGGUUCUUCCCUGAAGAGCCCUGUUGCUGCCCAUGACAUGUGAGCCUCACCUGCAAGAGAGGGAUGUGUUGCUUUCUAUGUUUAUAUUGACUGACAGCCUUGACACUCCACUUUUUACUUCAGCAAAUGGCUCGAUACCUCUCCUUUCUAGCAUAACCUGGAUGGAAGAGGAAGAAGACUCCCAUCGUUUAAGCUCCCAUGGGUUAGAAUAUUCUUGUAGGAUUUGGAAUAUCUACUUUUAAUUGCUGCUUUCCUAAGGAGCCCUAAACAAAACAGUACUAUUUCUUAGGAAAAUGCCUGAAGUAGAUGGUACUUCUGCCUUUAGCAGAUGGGCUGUUUGGCAUAAGUGGGGCAUCAGAUGUGUUUUUUCAGUUCCCACUUUUAACAUCCUUCCUGUUUUAAUGAAAGUUUAAGCAGUCAGAAUGUGAGUGAGAGGGAGAAAACAACUCUUCAGGCUAAUAGUUGCUACACUUAUCUAAGAGGAAGAUGUGUUUUAAUGUAUGUUUAUGAAUUUCAUCUAAAAACCCAGUUUGGAACGUUUUUCCCUAUUUAAUCCUAUAACAUAAAAAUAAAUCCUGUUGUUGGAUCACAACCUUCAACUACAUGCUUGGGUCCCACAGUAUUCCACUGCUCUUAAAACACUUCCAAGUUACUCCCUUUCUUGAAAUUCUCUUUGUCCACAUCCUGUAGGCCUAUAACAUAGUGUUCAGGGGAAACUAGAUUUUGUUAUUGUUGUUAUUUUUGCAUCCUAGAAGGAACAUACAUUCAGGUGUUAAGAGCUGAACCUUGAAGAUUCUUGCGGUCAUUUGAAGAGAUUACCACAUGCAGGCUCUCUGCCCUGUCUUUAGUGGAAGCUUCAAUACCUGGUUCUAGCAGGAAAUGACGGUUCCUUUCUACAGCUGCUGUUCAGAGCUAGAAGCAUUGUCAGGGUUUUGAGUUCAGGAUAAACUGAUACACUUGGUUCAGGUAAAGAGAGAUGUACCUAGCAUGUGGGCUUAGUUACAAGCUAGAUACUGACCUAGAGAGCUCUGCAGGUAUAUUCAAAGAUCCCGUAGCUCUUUCUGAUAAAAUCAGCUGCAAACAGCCGAGGAGUCAGCAUGUUUACUACUGCUACCUGUGCUGGAGGAGCAGUAGCUUCCUUCAGAAGUGUAGGGUAAACAGCAGGGCUGGUCAUAUGUAAAAGUGCUGAAGUAUAAGCCAUGUGAGAAUCUGCAGAAUUGUCUCAGGCUGAAAAAGAAAUUGAAGCAUGCCAUGUCCUCUCAUCUCUGAUGAUUAUGAAAAAAGUUGGUGACCAGUGCACCAGCAGAUAAGCAGCAGAAAUUGAAGACUUCUGGCAGUUUAUUACCAGUCACAGCUCUUCAGAACUCCAACUAAUACUUUGAAGAAUAACAGCAAUUCUGGAACCAGAGUUUCAAAAUAAAUGUGCAUGAAAAUCUGAAGGUCUCUAUCAUGUAGCCCAAGUCUUGAACACUCUCCUGUAGUACCUGUCCCAGUUUUGGGACCUUGACAGGCUCUCUGGUCAUUUUCCAGUGUAGCAAAGGGACUGUAGCAAUUUAGGAACUGGAGCAAGCAGUUUUGCAGGAGAUGCGCAUCCUAAAGGAAGGGGAACAAACAGGGCUCAGGUUCACCGCCUGAGUUGCUCUCACAAGUCUAAAUUGAGGAAUGAAUGCAAGUGGAUUUAAGGACUGCUUCGUAAAAGAGAAAUAUAUUAGUUUCGCCUCCUCUGAAUAUCUAAAGUCCUCUGCAAA